rnacentral:rRNA from 1 species
AUUGAACGCUGGCGGCAGGCCUAACACAUGCAAGUCGAACGAGUGGCGGACGGGUGAGUAAUGUAUGGGAAACUGCCUGAUGGAGGGGGAUAACUACUGGAAACGGUAGCUAAUACCGCAUACCAUCAGAUGUGCCCAGAUGGGAUUAGCUUGUUGGUGGGGUAACGGCUCACAAAGGCGCCGAUCCCUAGCUGGCCUGAGAGGAUGACCAGCCACAUGGGAACUGAGACACGGUCAAAACUCCUACGGGAGGCGGCAGUGGGGAAUAUUGCACAAUGGGGGAAAGCCUGAUGCAGCCAUGCCGCGUGUAUGAAGAAGGCCUGCGGGUUGUAAAGUACUUUCAGCGGGGAGGCGUUACCCGCAGAAGAAGCACCGGCUAACUCCGUGCCAGCAGCCGCGGUAAUUC